rnacentral:tRNA from 1 species
CGGGACAUAGCGCAGUCCGGUUAGCGCACUUGGUUUGGGACCAAGGGGUCGUAGGUUCGAAUCCUACUGUCCCGA